CAGCAGUCGCCACGGUAAUACAGAGGGUGCGAGCGUUAAUCGGAUUUACUGGGCGUAAAGCGUGCGUAGGCGGCUUCUUAAGUCGGAUGUGAAAUCCCUGAGCUUAACUUAGGAAUUGCAUUCGAUACUGGGAAGCUAGAGUAUGGGAGAGGAUGGUAGAAUUCCAGGUGUAGCGGUGAAAUGCGUAGAGAUCUGGAGGAAUACCGAUGGCGAAGGCAGCCAUCUGGCCUAAUACUGACGCUGAGGUACGAAAGCAUGGGGAGCAAACAGGAUUAGAUACCCCAGUAGUCCCUGUCUCUUAUAC
rnacentral:rRNA from 1 species